GAUGAACGCUAGCGGCAGGCUUAACACAUGCAAGUCGAGGGGCAGCGCGGGAUAGCAAUAUCCUGGCGGCGACCGGCGGAAGGGUGCGUAACGCGUGAGCGACAUGCCCGUUGCCCGGGGACAACCGGUGGAAACGCCGACUAAUCCCCGAUGGGAUAUUGUGCCGCAUGGCACGAUAUUGAAAGUUACGGCGGCGACGGAUUGGCUCGCGUCCGAUUAGCUUGUUGGCGGGGUAACGGCCCACCAAGGCUGCGAUCGGUAGGGGGUCUGAGAGGAAGGCCCCCCACAAUGGGACUGAGACACGGCCCAUACUCCUACGGGAGGCAGCAGUGAGGAAUAGUGGUCAAUGGGCGGAAGCCUGAACCAGCCAUGCCGCGUGCGGGAAGGAGGCCCUAUGGGCUGUGAACCGCUUUUGCCUGGGGGCAAUAAGGGCGUCGCGCACGUCCGAUGAGAGUACCAGGCGAAUAAGCAUCGGCUAACUCCGUG
rnacentral:rRNA from 1 species